GCAUGCCUGUUCGAGCGUCAUUUCAACCCUCAAGCUCUGCUUGGUGUUGGGGCCCUACAGCUGAUGUAGGCCCUCAAAGGUAGUGGCGGACCCUCCCGGAGCCUCCUUUGCGUAGUAACUUUACGUCUCGCACUGGGAUCCGGAGGGACUCUUGCCGUAAAACCCCCCAAUUUUCCAAAGGUUGACCUCGGAUCAGGUAGGAAUACCCGCUGAACUUAAGCAUAUCAAUAAGCGGAGGAAAAGAAACCAACAGGGAUUGCCUCAGUAACGGCGAGUGAAGCGGCAACAGCUCAAAUUUGAAAUCUNGNCCCUAGGCCCGAGUUGUAAUUUGCAGAGGAUGCUUUGGGUGCGGUGCCUUCCAAGUUCCCUAGAACGGGACGCCAGAGAGGGUGAGAGCCCCGUACAGUUGGACACCAAGCCUUUGUAAAGCUCCUUCGACGAGUCGAGUAGUUUGGGAAUGCUGCUCAAAAUGGGAGGUAUAUUUCUUCUAAAGCUAAAUACCGGCCAGAGACCGAUAGCGCACAAGUAGAGUGAUCGAAAGAUGAAAAGCACUUUGAAAAGAGGGUUAAACAGCACGUGAAAUUGUUAAAAGGGAAGCGCUUGUGACCAGACUUGCGUCCGGUGAAUCACCCAGCUCUCGCGGCUGGGGCACUUCGCCGGCUCAGGCCAGCAUCAGCUCGCUGUCGGGGACAAAAGCUUCAGGAACGUAGCUCUCUUCGGGGAGUGUUAUAGCCUGUUGCAUAAUACCUUCGGCGGGCUGAGGUACGCCGUCCGCAAGGAUGCUGGCAUAAUGGUCAUCAGCGACCCGUCUUGAAACACGGACCAAGGAGUCAACCUUAUGUGCGAGUGUUCGGGUGUCAAACCCCUACGCGUAAUGAAAGU
rnacentral:rRNA from 1 species